GACGAACGCUGGCGGCGUGCUUAACACAUGCAAGUUGAACGGGCGAUAUUGGAAGCUUGCUGAAGAUAUCGUUAGUAGCGGACGGGUGAGUAAUGCAUGAGGACCUGCCUUCUGGAGGGGGACAACAGUUGGAAACGGCUGCUAAUACCCCGUAUGCCGAGAGGUGAAAGGAAUGGAGACAUUCCGCCGGGAGAGGGACUCAUGUCCUAUCAGCUGGUUGGUGAGGUAACGGCUCACCAAGGCGACGACGGGUAGCCGGCCUGAGAGGGCGAGCGGCCACACUGGAACUGAGAGACGGUCCAGGCUCCUACGGGAGGCAGCAGUGGGGAAUAUUGGGCAAUGGGGGCAACCCUGACCCAGCGACGCCGCGUGAGGGAAGAAGGCCUUCGGGUCGUAAACUUCUUUUGUACGUGAAGAAGCAGAUGACGGUAGCGUACGAAUAAGUCCCGGCUAACUACGUGCCAGCAGCCGCAGUAA
rnacentral:rRNA from 1 species